rnacentral:misc_RNA from 1 species
UUGUGCCCCUCUUGUAAACCACAUCUUUCUCGAAGCAGCGCUCAUGUCCGAAGCCGAAGUACAGACGGAGUGGUCUGAGCUGCCGCUUGACACGCGGGUGCUCGAGGCCCUGACAGACCUAGCGUGGAAGAAGCCGACCGCCGUCCAAAGCGCUUGCGUGCCGCUCGCGCUCAAGGGCAAAGACAUCUCCAUCCAAUCCCGCACCGGCUCUGGUAAGACCGGUGCCUUUGUCAUCCCAGCCGUGCAGCGCAUCAUCACGGAGCGGGAGCAACGUGGCAAUGCUCGAGCACUGCCCAACCCGCGCGUCCUCAUUCUUGUUCCGUCAGUCGAGUUGUGCGAGCAGACGGCCGAGGCGGCGCAGUUGAUAGCCAAGUAUGUGCAGCCUCGGCUGAUCAUCGACAACCUGACGUCUGGCGGCGCCGUGACGGCAAGACGCAUUCAGUCUGCCCACAUAGUCAUUACCACCGCCGCUCUACUGGCGAAGGGGUGCAGCCAGGGCACCGUGACGGCUGACACCUUCCAGCAUGUCCGCUUUUUCGUCCUCGACGAGGCCGACGUGGUGGCCUCGAUGGCGGAGCGAUCCCUGCGCACGGUGCAGUCGUUGUUGCCACCGAGCAUGCAGGUUAUUCUAGCUUCCGCCACCCUAACCAAGGGCGUCGCGGCCGUCAAAGGCCAACUACUGCGGCACCCGGUGAAUGUGGUGCUCACGUCAGAGGACGUGGAGGAGUUGGCGCGUGGCGACGUCGAGGACAGCGCAGCCUCGCCGCAGGGCCCGGUUGUCGAGUCCCGUGUCAGGGUGAGGGACCCACUGAAGAAGACACUGCACCAGUACUACUUGGUGGCCACGGACGAGUGCCACAGCCACACGCUUCUCUUUGGUCUCUACCGCAUGGCCCUCAUCACCGGCAAGACACUCAUCUUCGUGAACGACGACGAGCAAACGUAUCGUCUCCAGAAUUUCCUGGAGCAACUCGGGGUGGCAACGCUCGCGUACGAUGCAAACCUACCCAUCAACGUGCGCCUCGACACUCUGCGUCGUUUCCAAAGCGGCAUGGUGUCCACGCUCGUGUGCACCGAUGGCACACUGGAGAGCGCAAUGCAGCUGCAAGCUUCGCUGGAGGAGUUGCGACCAGGUGAGAAGGGCUCGGACGGUCAGUCGGGGUCAUCGUCAUCGCGGCGCCGGUCGCGGUCGGCUUCCGUGUGUAGUCGUGCGAACACCGAGGCGCCAUCGGCAUUGCACCGCGGCAUCGACUUUGCGCACGUGCGCAACGUUGUUCUGUUCGACGGGGUGGAGGCGACUGACCCAAUCGCAUUGUCUCGUUACAUUCACCGCAUCGGCCGCGCAGGUCGUGCCGGCGAGGAGGGCGUGUCCAUCGCGAUUUUCACCGUGCCGCAAGCCCGCAAGUAUCUGCGCCCGCUACAGGAGUACUGCACAGAGCGCGGCGACGUCAUUCGGCCGUUUCGGCAGAUGCAGCGGGCUGAGGUGGCAAAGCUGCAGUACCGCGUGGACAGCGUGCUCGGCAACAUCACGCGUGCCUCGACGCGCAAGAUGAGGGUGGCCUCCGUCGCCGCGGAGCUGAGUCGUAGCUCGUACCUGGCGAAUCACCUCUCGCAGAAGGACACGGACGCCCUGCAGAGAGUUAUGCGGCGGUCCUCAAAGAGGAUCAGGGUGGAGCGCAACAUCCUCGAGGUGCCCGAGUACAUGCAUCUGUCGACGGCAGACGACGUAGGCGCGUACCGGAAGCGUGUGCAAGCCAAGCAGACGCAGUCGAACCGUCUGCGCAAGGCAACGCAGAAGGCUUCCGCAGACCCGCUGAAGGCGGUGGUGUCUAAGCUGCGCUCCUCCAAGCGCAAGGCAUAAAGCCAUAAGCGCAGAGCCGAAAAGGGAGGGAGAUGAUGAAUGCAGCGCACUCUGUGUAAAAUGGAGACGGACGGACGGCAAGAUGAGGUGCUCUCUCUCUGUGUUGGUGUGUGCAGGUGUCCAUGCACGCAUGACUGUGUGGCACCGCUGGCAUUGGCUGAUUUUGUGGGGAAGGGGUUUGCCGCUCUUUUUUUGCACAUCUUCGUAGGAGUGCUGCAGAGGUGUGCGGAGCCGUCCACCUCCCCUCGUCCUUGUUGUUCCCGUCGCUUGUCCACCGUGACAGCGUCUCUUGGACCUUGAUACCCGUCUCCGUCUGCCGCCGCCGCCCCCCCCCUCCUCCUCACCAUCACCAGCGCGUAAGCAGGUGUGCUAAGCUUCUUGUUAUUCGAUUAAGGGACGCAUUACGCGAUUCAGCAUUCUCAACGUCUGCCACUGCCUCGAGCAGCGAAGAGUGCCGCGACGUGCGCAUUCCUCUUGCUCUCUGGCCAACUUCAUGAGUCACUGUGUGCCACAGGCACCGUAGCGAACGCACCCC